GGAGAGGGCUUUCGGGAUAUUGGGCGUAAGAGCUCGUAGGCGGUUUGUCGCGUCUGCCGUGAAAGUCCGGGGCUCAACUCCGGAUCUGCGGUGGGUACGGGCAGACUAGAGUGAUGUAGGGGAGACUGGAAUUCCUGGUGUAGCGGUGAAAUGCGCAGAUAUCAGGAGGAACACCGAUGGCGAAGGCAGGUCUCUGGGCAUUAACUGACGCUGAGGAGCGAAAGCAUGGGGAGCGAACAGGAUUAGAUACCCUGGUAGUCCAUGCCGUAAACGUUGGGCACUAGGUGUGGGGGACAUUCCACGUUCUCCGCGCCGUAGCUAACGCAUUAAGUGCCCCGCCUGGGGAGUACGGCCGCAAGGCUAAAACUCAAAGGAAUUGACGGGGGCCCGCACAAGCGGCGGAGCAUGCGGAUUAAUUCGAUGCAACGCGAAGAACCUUACCAAGGCUUGACAUGGGCCGGACCGGGCUGGAAACAGUCCUUCCCCUUUGGGGCCGGUUCACAGGUGGUGCAUGGUUGUCGUCAGCUCGUGUCGUGAGAUGUUGGGUUAAGUCCCGCAACGAGCGCAACCCUCGUUCCAUGUUGCCAGCGCGUUAUGGCGGGGACUCAUGGGAGACUGCCGGGGUCAACUCGGAGGAAGGUGGGGACGACGUCAAAUCAUCAUGCCCCUUAUGUCUUGGGCUUCACGCAUGCUACAAUGGCCGGUACAAAGGGUUGCGAUACUGUGAGGUGGAGCUAAUCCCAAAAAGCCGGUCUCAGUUCGGAUUGGGGUCUGCAACUCGACCCCAUGAAGUCGGAGUCGCUAGUAAUCGCAGAUCAGCAACGCUGCGGUGAAUACGUUCCCGGGCCUUGUACACACCGCCCGUCAAGUCACGAAAGUUGGUAACACCCGAAGUCGGUGGCCUAACCCCUUGUGGGAGGGAGCUGUCGAAAGUGGGACUGGCGAUUGGACUAAGUCGUAACAAGGUAACC
rnacentral:rRNA from 1 species